GGCCUCUGUGUGCAGAGGCCAUUCACCAAAUGUUACCACUCGCCGGUAGGCUGCAUUAAGCGUCUUCGCCUCUGUACCAGAAGUUCUUUGCACACAUCUAGCGGCAUUCUUCUGAACAGCCGGAGUGCAGAACCACUUCAUUUUAAGCUGUGUUUGUUAAACGCAUGACUAUGAGAUGUGAGCUUAAAGGAGGAGGGAGGAAGUGAAAGGAGGAACCAGCCCCGCCUCCAGUCUGCACCCCCUGGUUCCCACCGGGUAGCACCUCCAUCCCACCCACCGUCGCUGAACACCUACCCUGUGUCCCAGGUGCCAGGGGAUGCUGUGAGAGCACUUACGACGAUCCGACCUUCUCCUAUAAACUGGCUUAUUUACCUGCUGUCUGCCCCCCUCGCCACAGCUGGAGCACUGGAGGAGGGCCUGCACUCAGCGGGUGUUCAGUCAACAGCCGAGGAAUGAAGGAAUGAAAUGCCCCGUGCACACUCCACGAGGUUUUUAUUGUCACACAUCGCUUAUCGCCAUCACGAGUCCUCUCCUCGCUCCCCUGCCUCACCCAGGGGCUCCUGAGAACCUCGGGGAGGUCUCCCUCAGCUACAAAC
rnacentral:lncRNA from 1 species